GGCUCCAUAGCUCAGGGCUUAGAGCACUGGCUCUGGAAACCAGGGGUCGCAGGUUAAUAUCUCGCUGGGGCCU
rnacentral:tRNA from 1 species